ensembl:lncRNA
AACAUAAAUACAUUAUGGUAUUAAAUUAUAUUACGUUUAUAAUAAAUAAAGGAAUGCACUUUAUCUAAUGAUUGGUUAAGCAUUAUCCUAUAUUUAAAUAUAUUUUCAAGUGUUAAAACUACCUCACAGAGUACGCAAAGUACUGCACAUUAAUAACUGGAAUCUGUAUGCUGUAAUUUAUAAAUCCUAAAGGCUUAGCUCCAAAAUAUGAAUCCACAUUAAUGCAUGAGCCAUGCAGUCGUGUAAUGCAAACUGCUUUGUGAACUCACUAUGGACGUGUUCUGUUCGUUUCGGUGGAAACAAUGCAGGCAACCACUGGAUUCGUUAAUGUAAUUUCUGUAUAAUGUUAGAUACAUAAGGAAGGCCAUAUGUAGUAUGUACUUUACAUUUAUAAUGAAGACACGAUGCUUCUCGUCGAUUUCCAACGGCGGCAAAUCAUUUAUUAGAGGAAAAAUGAAGACGAACUGACGCUGUUUAUAGCGAGCAGCGCCCUCUGUUGGUCAAAACAAACAAACGCCAGCGGAGGAGCUGAGGCUCUGAUAGGCUCAUACAUUACAUUAAAAACGUUUCAUUUAGUUUUGCUAAUAUUAGACAGGAUUAGAAUCUGAAUUAGGUUUGUUGCCAUCUUAAAUUAUUUUAUUUAUAACAGUAGUUAAUGAAUAUUCAAAUACAAUUUUGGUCUAUAUUUUGCAUUAUGACGUAAAUAAGUAUUAGAAUGCACUUUAUCUAAUGAUGUGAGUUAAAACCAUAACUAUCUCAAAAAGCACAUGGACUACUGCACAUUUAUAACUGAAAUCUUUGUACUGUAAUUUAAUCCCACAUGUAGUGGUGAUGGGAUAAACAGUUUGAUGGAUAUCAGAUGGAGCUGUCAGUGUGUCACUUUCCAUAUGCUGAAGCAAACAUAAAGCUUUUGUCUAAUGACCAGCGCUUUAUCAAGGCUAAAAAUGGAAAGAAACAGGAAAGGAGCUCACUGCAGGCCCAUGCAGGGUUUUCCUGUAUAAUAAACCUGAGCUAAAUCAGACAAAGCACCAAUGGCAAACCUGAUUACUUUGUCUUUGCAUGAUAUAUUAUUUGUCUGUCUGUAUUUUAUUUGCCUUCAAACACACACUAUGGUUACCUGAAAUAUUGAAAUACAAGAAGUAGCUGUCAGAGUGGGAUAAUGUAAUAAAUGCUAGAACGCAAACGGUAUGAUUUUGCUCACAUUGAAUUAUCUUCAGUUUAUUCAACACCCACAUCACC